rnacentral:rRNA from 1 species
ACGGAAGGCAGCAGUGGGGAAUAUUGGGCAAUGGGCGAAAGCCUGACCCAGCAACGCCGCGUGAAGGGAGAAGAUUUUCGGAUUGUAAACUUCUUUUAUAAGGGACGAAGAAAGUGACGGUACCUUAUGAAUAAGCCACGGCUAACUACGUGCCAGCAGCCGCGGUAAUACGUAGGUGGCAAGCGUUGUCCGGAUUUACUGGGUGUAAAGGGCGCGUAGGCGGGAUUGCAAGUCAGAUGUGAAAUCCAUGGGCUCAACCCAUGAACUGCAUUUGAAACUGUGAUUCUUGAGUAUCGGAGAGGCAAGUGGAAUUCCUAGUGUAGCGGUGAAAUGCGUAGAUAUUAGGAGGAACACCGGUGGCGAAGGCGACUUUCUGGACGAUAACUGACGUUGAUGCACGAAAGUGUGGGGAGCAAACAGGAUUAGAUACCCUGGUA